rnacentral:rRNA from 1 species
UACAGAGGGGGCAAGCGUUAUUCGGAAUUAUUGGGCGUAAAGGGCGCGUAGGCGGCCAUUCAAGUGACGGGUGAAAGCCCUCGGCUUAACCGAGGAACUGCCUGUCAGACUGGAUGGCUUGAGACCGGCAGAGGGGGGUGGAAUUCCGCGUGUAGCAGUGAAAUGCGUAGAGAUGCGGAGGAACACCGAUGGCGAAGGCAGCCCCCUGGGCUAGCACUGACGCUCAGGCACGAAAGCGUGGGGAGCAAACAGG